rnacentral:rRNA from 1 species
ACUCCUACGGGAGGCAGCAGUGGGGAAUAUUGGACAAUGGGCGCAAGCCUGAUCCAGCCAUGCCGCGUGAGUGAUGAAGGCCUUAGGGUUGUAAAGCUCUUUUGUCCGGGAAGAUAAUGACUGUACCGGAAGAAUAAGCCCCGCUACUUACGUGCCAGCAGCCGCGGUAAUACGAAGGGGCGUAGCGUUGCUCGGAAUCACUGGGCGUAAAGGGCGCGUAGGCGGACUUUUAAGUC